rnacentral:rRNA from 1 species
UACGUAGGGGGCAAGCGUUGUUCGGAAUUACUGGGCGUAAAGGGCGCGUAGGCGGCAUGGCAAGUCGGGAGUGAAAGGCCUGGGCUCAACCGAGGAACUGCUUUCGAGACUGCCAAGCUAGUGUGCGGAAGGGGCAUCUGGAAUUCCCAGUGUAGCGGUGAAAUGCGUAGAUAUUGGGAAGAACACCUGAGGCGAAGGCGGGAUGCUGGGCCGACACUGACGCUGAGGCGCGAAAGCCAGGGGAGCAAACGGG